AUUUAAGUAUAGCGUAGCACUUGGCUGCAAUCAGACUUGCUGGCAAGAGAUGAUGUAGCCUAAUAUGGAGCAAUACAUAUUAAAAACUAGCUCGCGACUUUAUCCGCGUGGAAUACAUAGAUUUCAACCCCUAUUUCACUCCCUUAGGGGUUGAAUUUUCAAAAUCCUUUCUCAGCGGAUGUCUACAUCAUAAUAACUACCUGCAUG